UGCAACGGUCAUUGCAACAUUUUUUCUUAACCGCUGCAUUAGGAAUUCAAAUGCAACCGUUUUGGGGCUAUUGCAAUGGUCUGGUUUAAUUCUAGUGCAUUUUUUAAUCUAGCAAAGGUGGUAUGAAUUUACUGUAAGUAGGCUAACUGUAAGGGGGACUUUAUUUAUUUUUAUAUAUGAGGUUCCCUCUCUAACAUUCUCGAAAUUUCCUAAACUUCAAAUCCCUUGCCUAACUUUUCCAAAACCCUAAACUUUCAGUAAAAAGGUUCUUUCUUCUCGAGCUCGAUCUGGUGCGAUUCUCUCUCCCUUCUUCUUGAAUACUCCUAACAAGUUCCAAUAAAGCCAAAAUAUAGAAACGUUGGUUGCGUCUAUCUCUUGCGGCGUUGAGGCAACAGAGGCAAGAUAGUUGUCGCAAAAACGCCGGUGACCAUCAGCAACUACGGCAUUCUCUUUCACUUAGUUGACGAACAUAAUGGGGUGGAAAUGGAGAAACGUACAUGGUCGCUAGAAUGGCAUAUUAUUGGUGGUCAAUCUCUCUUACAAGUUACAAACAGUUGUAUAACUUAGUAUAUUAUACAAGGGAGUAUGCUGAAGUUUUUGGUUCCAUAGAAGUACAAUUAAGUACUUGAUUUUGUAAAUAGAUCAAAACAAUAAUGUACAUAUGUAUGGAUUUUUUAAAAUUUGUAAUAAAAUAUUCAUAAUUCGAUAUGUGUAGUUAUAUUUUCGUAAGUUUGAUAUUA